GAUGAACGCUGGCGGCGUGCCUAAUACAUGCAAGUCGAGCGAACAGAUGAGGAGCUUGCUCCUCUGACGUUAGCGGCGGACGGGUGAGUAACACGUGGAUAACCUACCUAUAAGACUGGGAUAACUUCGGGAAACCGGAGCUAAUACCGGAUAAUAUAUUGAACCGCAUGGUUCAAUAGUGAAAGACGGUUUUGCUGUCACUUAUAGAUGGAUCCGCGCCGCAUUAGCUAGUUGGUAAGGUAACGGCUUACCAAGGCAACGAUGCGUAGCCGACCUGAGAGGGGGAUCGGCCAAACUGAACCUGAGAAACGGUCCAGACUCCUACGGGAGGCAGAAGUAGGGAAUCUUCCGCAAUGGGCGAAAGCCUGACGGAGCAACGCCGCGUGAGUGAUGAAGGUCUUCGGAUCGUAAACUCUGUUAUUAGGGAAGAACAAAUGUGUAAGUAACUAUGCACGUCUUGACGGUACCUAAUCAGAAAGCCACGGCUAACUACGUG
rnacentral:rRNA from 1 species